GCGGUGGUAGUUCAGCGGUAGAAUGCUUCCUUGCCAAGGAAGAUGUCGCCGGUUCGAUCCCGGUCCACCGCUCAA
rnacentral:tRNA from 1 species